GUAUUGAUCGCGCGUGAUCGCGCAAAGAACAUUCUACACUACGUUCGAAUGGGUGUUUAAUGUUAAAAACGUGAGCACCCCCCCCCCCCUCCGAGGAAGGGAGGACACACGCGGUGAUGCACAAAGGGGUAAGAUGGAUAUUUGUAUGUGAGAGGACUUGGGCGUGCACGACAAAAAAAAGCCAGCGACAACCCUCGUACCCCCAUUGUACGAUAAUGAUCCUUCCGCAGGUUCACCUACGGAAA
rnacentral:misc_RNA from 1 species